CGGCUUGUCACGUCGGGUGUGAAAGCCCGGGGCUUAACCCCGGGUCUGCAUUCGAUACGGGCUAACUAGAGUGUGGUAGGGGAGAUCGGAAUUCCUGGUGUAGCGGUGAAAUGCGCAGAUAUCAGGAGGAACACCGGUGGCGAAGGCGGAUCUCUGGGCCAUUACUGACGCUGAGGAGCGAAAGCGUGGGGAGCGAACAGGAUUAGAUACCCUGGUAGUCCACGCCGUAAACGGUGGGAACUAGGUGUUGGCGACAUUCCGCGUCGUCGGUGCCGCACCUAACGCAUUAAUUUCCCCGCCGGGGGAGUACGGCCGCAAGGCUAAAACUCAAAGGAAUUGACGGGGGCCCGCACAAGCAGCGGAGCAUGUGGCUUAAUUCGACGCAACGCGAAAAACCUUACCGAGGCUUGACAUACACCGGAAAGCAUCAGAGAUGGUGCCCCCCUUGUGGUCGGUGUACAGGUGGUGCAUGGCUGUCGUCACCUCGUGUCGUGAGAUGUUGGGUUAAAUCCCGCAACGAGCGCAACCCUUGUUCUGUGUUGCCAGCAUGCCCUUCGGGGUGAUGGGGACUCACACGAGACCGCCGGGGUCAACUCGGAGGAAGGUGGGGACCACGUCAAGUCGUCAUGCCCCUUAUGUCUUGGGCUGCACACGUGCUACAAUGGCCGGUACA
rnacentral:rRNA from 1 species